rnacentral:rRNA from 1 species
CAAGGAAUUUUCGUCAAUGGGCGCAAGCCUGAACGAGCAACGCCGCGUGGAGGAUGACGGCCUUCGGGUUGUAAACUCCUUUUUCGGGGGACGAUAAUGACGGUACCCCGGGAAUAAGGCUCGGCUAACUCUGUGCCAGCAGCCGCGGUAAUACAGAGGAGCCAAGCGUUGUCCGGAUUGACUGGGCGUAAAGCGCACGCAGGCGGGUGCGCGCGUGGGGUGUGAAAUCUGGCCGCUUAACGGCCAGGCGCCAUCCCAUACGGCGCGCCUGGAGCCUUGCAGAGGGCGGUGGAAUUGCCGGUGUAGUGGUGAAAUGCGUAGAGAUCGGCAGGAACACCCAGGGGGAAACCAGCCGCCUGGGCAAGCGCUGACGCUGAGGUGCGAGAGCGUGGGGAGCGAACCGGAUUAGAUACCCGGGUAGUCCACGCCGUAAACGAUGGCCACUCGGCCUCUGGGCACGGAACCUCCGUGCGUGGGGGCCUUAGCAAACGCGGGAAGUGGCCCGCCUGGGAACUACGAGCGCAAGCUUAA